AUUUUUCUUUACCGUACCCUAAGCCCGACGCCGACCCCCAUUCCUCCUCGGUUUCUUCUUCCCGAGACUCCUCAUCUUCCCAAAUCGACGACGUUUCCUCUCCUCCCCUCGCGUACAAAAUCGCUGGCGGAAGCCUCGAGGAGAAGCCUCCUCCUCUUCCCCGAGCCCAAUCGUCUUCCUCUCGAUCUCGCGGCGCUGCCCAAGAACCAAUCAGCCACCUGCCCAAGACGAGAAGUGAGCAACACUGAGCCCUAGCUUCCUCUCUAAGCCGAUGUCGCCUCCUUGUCGAAGGCCAGAUCGGAGACUUUACCGGUCGAGGGAGUGUCGUCGUCCUCAUGUGCCCUAUCCCCGAAUCACCACCGACCAUUUCUGGUUUUCCGAUCAGAGGCGCCAUCUUUGUAUGAGACAAUUUUUGGCCAAUAAGGGAGGGUCCGAGCCCUAGUUUGGUUUUCUUCCUCCCGUGCGCUGGUGUUGAGGACCCUAGCAGCAGGGACUUUCCUACUGGAUUUCGGCCAUUGCAGUAGGUCAGAGGACCUUAGAGGUAGUGAAGAUUGUUUGGGCGAGAUCUGCGAUUUCUGGAGAGGAAGCCAAAACAAGUGUUGUGGAGGUAAGGAAGUCUGUGUACAGGGUUUAGGAGUUUUACAUGCUUCGUGUUUAAUUUGUAGGGGUUUGAUUUCUUUUCAGUUUUAGGAUAUCUAGUUGUUUUCAAUGACCAUUGUAGCUGCUUCUAGAAAUUCUGGAAGUGAGUUCUUCAGGAUUAGAUCAGUGGCUGAGACAUCGGAUUUGGGUAAGGUUUUGAGUUAAUUUAUGUUGUGUUGACUUGUUAGAAAUGGAUUUGCUGAAAGGAUCAAUUAAAGAAUUGAUAAUGCUGGGUUAAACCUAACUCAAUCAAGUAAUUGAUAUUAGAUAAGAGUUAGGCGGUAAUUAGGGUUAAACUAAUUUAACUCAGAUGGGUGGUUAAUUAAUGGUAGUACAUCGAUUAGGAUUUUUCCCUAACUAGUGUUGGGGAUGUAUUUAGCUAAAUAAUUCAAAGGAACUUAGCUAAAUAAAAUACUUUGAUAUAGGACUCUGAUUUGUGACGAGCUGCCUUACGUGAGAUUACCUUUGGCAUGCACUAUAUUGGAGGUUGAGGUCGUUAGGAGAUUCCAGUACCUAGUCUCCACUUCGUGUCGCGAUGAUUUUCUUCUUACAGACUUGGUUCCUUGUUUUUGUGAUGAUCUACUUGUUGAUCUAUAUACUUGUAAUUGUACUCGAGGAUUUUUAUUGAGUUUUGGUCUACUACACUUAUUUUUCCGUUGCGUUGAUUUC